GACACACGGCGCACGCGCAGCAGUCGGCACAGCGCAGUCCUCAGUCAGCUCGCGGAGGCGACGUCUUCAACAGGUGCGAACACUCCUCAGCCGACCGCUGACCACCCGUUGCAUCAGCACGCUGGCAUUUCGCCCCUGGAUGCGGCAGUGUCCAAGAUCGCUGUGGCGUGCAGGAUGAGGUGGCGGUCGGCGAGGCCGCGCUGAGCCCGCAUGUCGACGCUGCCGCGCGCGCAUGCGCCCGGCGGCGGCGUCGGAGGCGGCAGGACCCGCGG